rnacentral:snRNA from 1 species
GUGCUCACUUCAGCAGCAUAUAGACUAAAAUUGGAAUGAUACAGAGAAGAUUAGCAUAGCCCCUGCACAAGGAUGACAUGCAAAUUCGUGAAGCGUUCUGUAUUUUU